rnacentral:lncRNA from 1 species
GCGAGAGUCUGCCAGUGAAGGACGCGGUCCGGCAAUUUAUUGGUUUUUUUUUUUUUCUUUCUUUCUUUUUUUUUUUCUUUUUCCUUUGGUAGUUUUAAUUGGUACUUUGGGCCAGAAGGCGGGGCCUCACUGAGAAAGGAAACUGGCUGAGCAGACACUCUCUGCGUAGGAUCAUCAUGCCGAGCAUAAACUGGACUUUCCCACUUGCCUGGCAGGAGUGAGACAGAUCACUGUGUGCUAAAUGAGCAUCUGAGCAGAGAAGGAAUGAAUGCUGCAUAAUUAAGUACAGUAUUUAAUUUGGCUGUUGUGAAGCAAAAGAAUAAGAGCUCCUGGGCUGUCAUGUAUGAACAACCAAGCGAAUGGAGUGGAGGCAGAGGAGUUAAUGACCAUGGAGGCAUUUAUGGCUAAUAGGGAAUAUACCAGGAGCGAGGUAUGAAGUACACAAUAAGCAGAGUGAAGUAGAGUGCCAUUUAUCAAACACCGGCCAGAUGUCCUUGGUGUGUGCAUCCCUGUGGAAUCUGGUUCAUCUCCAAUCUGUCAGAAAGCAUCAGAGGUGGUUUUGAGUCCUUAUGUCCUGAGCCUGUGGACAAAAUGUACCUUGUGUGGAGGAAAAUGAGAUCCCGAGUGAAGUCUACAAUGUCAUUGACUCUGAAGAAGGACUCAGAGACCCAUUGGUGUUUAAUGACCCUUACUGGCCUAUGCAAUGGGAACUGGUAAGAUCUUUGGAAAUAGAUGGUUCUUUGGCAAUGUUAAGAAAUAUUAUUUUCGUCAUGUUUUAAUGCAGUAGACAGACACUUUUAUGCACUGCCUGCUUUUAUCUAUUGAUUUUGCAGAAAGAGACUUAGCAAACUUUUGAUGAAAUAUUACUGCCAGCUUAUUAGUGAGCACUAAUCUCUUUAAUUUGAUUACAUCCUUAGGGUUUGAUUUAGCCUAUAAAAGAUAUCAGUGAAAAACCUAAGACAUUUAAAUUUGGUAUAUGUAAACAGGCUCAUUACAUAGAAAUGUGGUUGCCAUUCAGGCUUGAAGUUCCUCUUUUUGCAUAACCAGAAUAUAUUCUAUAUUACUUCAAUAAUGAGGGAGAGAACUCUUUAUAGAAUAAGUGAAUGUUAGAACAUUGCACAACAAACUUUUUUCAUAAUGCUUAGAGUGUUGGACAUUUUAUGAAUACAUUGUUUUGUCAUUUAUACAUGACCGUGACAAUGGAAAAAGGUCUGAUAAAAGCACACAUCGUUUUUGAGCAUUAAUACAUUUUAAAAAGUUGAAGUUGGUAGCACUAAAUAUUUUAAAAGGAAGUAUUUGGAAUGUGAAGGUGACAUAGUGAUAAUAUAAAAGAGAAGUUGAAGACCUUGUUGUAUCCAUACUUAGCUCCUCAUAGGUUUGUAAACUAUAUUGUGUUGUAGAUGGUCUUGUGUUAUAAAAUGAGGAAAAGGUUAGGUGCAUGUCAUCAUUUUCAUAGAAAUAACGAGGUUAAAGGGGGAAAACUUACAGUAGCUUUUUUGUUUUUUUACGCUGAUUAUUGGCAGUUACCAAGCUUACUAUCUGAAAAGAGUAGAAAACCCAUGUUGAAAAAUGUCCAGGUCACUUUUCUGUAGUUUCAAUUCAUCUUUAAAAAGUGAAACAAGGAGUUCCUGUCGUGGCUCAGUGGUUUACGAAUCCAGCUAGGAAUCAUGAGUUUGGGGGUUCGAUCCCUGGCCUUGCUCAGUGGGUUAAAGGAUCCGGCAUUGCAGUGAGCUGUGGUGUAGGUCACAGAUGCAGCUCGGAUCUGGGGUUGCCGUGGCUCUGAGGUAGGCCGGCAGCAACAGCCCUGAUUCGAUCCCUAGCCUGGAAACCUCCUUGUGCCACGGGUGUGGCCCCAGAAAAGAGAAAAAG